GAGAGGAGCCUGCGUCCCAUCAGCUAGUUGGUAAGGUAAUGGCCUACCAAGGCGAUGACGGGUAGGGGACCUGAGAGGGUGGCCCCCCACAAUGGAACUGAAACACGGUCCAUACACCUACGGGUGGCAGCAGUAGGGAACAUUAGAAAUGGACGAAAGUCUGAUCUAGCAACACCGCGUGUGCGAUGAAGGCCUUCGGGUUGUAAAGCACUUUUUGGAAGGAUUAGGAAGGAAUGUACUUCCAGAAUAAGUCUCGGCUAACUACGUGCCAGCAGCCGCGGUAACACGUAGGAGGCGAACGUUAUCCGGAUUUACUGGGCGUAAAGCGCGUGUAGGUGGUUCUGUAAGUAGGGCGUGAAAGCUCCUGGCUCAACUGGGAGAGGCCGUUCUAAACUGCAGAGCUAGAGGAUGGUAGAGGGAGGUGGAAUUCCGGGUGUAGCGGUGGAAUGCGCAGAUAUCCGGAGGAACACCAGUGGCGAAGGCGGCCUCCUGGACCAUUCCUGACACUCAGACGCGAAAGCUAGGGUAGCAAACGGGAUUAGAGACCCCGGUAGUCCUAGCCCUAAACGAUGUAGACUUGGCGUCGGUGGCUUAAUCGUCAUCGGUGUCGAAGCUAACGCGAUAA
rnacentral:rRNA from 1 species